rnacentral:tRNA from 1 species
GCCCGGAUAGCUCAGUCAGUAGAGCAUGAGACUCUUAAUCUCAGGGUCGUGGGUUCAAGCCCCACAUUGGGCA